CCUACGGGGGGCAGCAGUGAGGAAUAUUGGUCAAUGGCCGAGAGGCUGAACCAGCCAAGUCGCGUGAGGGAAGACGGCCCUACGGGUUGUAAACCUCUUUUGUUGGGGAGCAAAGAGAGUCACGUGUGACUCAUUGAGAGUACCCGAAGAAAAAGCAUCGGCUAACUCCGUGCCAGCAGCCGCGGUAAUACGGAGGAUGCGAGCGUUAUCCGGAUUUAUUGGGUUUAAAGGGUGCGCAGGCGGAGGUGCAAGUCAGCGGUCAAAUUGCGGGGCUCAACCCCGUACUGCCGUUGAAACUGCAUCCCUUGAGUACAGUUGAGGUAGGCGGAAUUCGUGGUGUAGCGGUGAAAUGCUUAGAUAUCACGAAGAACUCCGAUUGCGAAGGCAGCUUACUAAACUGCCACUGACAUUGAUGCUCGAAAGUGUGGGUAUCAAACAGGAUUAGAUACCCCAGUAGUC
rnacentral:rRNA from 1 species